CCUACGGGGGGCUGCAGUAGGGAAUCUUCCGCAAUGGACGAAAGUCUGACGGAGCAACGCCGCGUGAGCGAAGAAGGUCUUCGGAUCGUAAAGCUCUGUUGUUAGGGAAGAACAAGUACGGGAGGAAAUGACCGUACCUUGACGGUACCUAACGAGGAAGCCACGGCUAACUACGUGCCAGCAGCCGCGGUAAUACGAAGGUGGCAAGCGUUCUCCGGAAUUAUUGGGCGUAAAGCGAGCGCAGGCGGUCUUUUAAGUCUGCUGUGAAAUCUUGCGGCUCAACCGCAAGUGGUCAUUGGUAACUGUGGGACUUGAGGUCAGCAGAGGAAAGCGUAAUUCAACGUGUAGAGGUGAAAUACGUAGAGAUUUGGAGUAACACAAGUGGCGAUGGCGGCUUUCUGUUCUGUAACUGACACGGAGGCGCGAAAGCGUGGUGAGCAAACAGGAUUAGAUAACCUAGUAUUC
rnacentral:rRNA from 1 species